rnacentral:lncRNA from 1 species
GUAAAAGGCCUGUUUGUAUAAGCUGGUGGAAAGGGUUUAAGUAUGACAGAGUUGCUGCGUUCUGGGGAAGCGAGGAUGGAAAAGCAAGGUUUUCUAGGGCUCAACCAGAAGAGCCUGGAGACUUGACAAUCAGGUGUUUGUGGAGAAGAUAGGAAGAGAAACCACAGCCGAGGCUCUUGCCUGUAGUUUCUCUGCUCCCUCUGCCUCCUGAUGGUCCCUGGUUCAUCCCCAUGUGGCCCUCAUGGUGCUGUGCCCUCCUCCCCUUGGGAACUAUCCUUCCAGAGGAGAUACCCUGGUCUCUGAAGUGGUUUUGUAUUUCCACUGAAAUAUACAAGUCUGGAUGUCUCCUACCAUUGAGCCACUUUUCAUCAUCCUGUUCUUCAUCGUCGAUUGGCUCCUCGGUUUCCAGUGGAGUUGGG